UACGGAGGGGGCUAGCGUUGUUCGGAAUUACUGGGCGUAAAGCGCACGUAGGUGGCUUGAUAAGUUGGGUGUGAAAUCCCCGGGCUUAACCUGGGAAUUGCAUUCAAGACUGUCUUGCUAGAGUGUGGAAGAGGGAAGCGGAAUUCCAGGUGUAGCGGUGAAAUGCGUAGAUAUCUGGAGGAACAUCAGUGGCGAAGGCGGCUUCCUGGUCCAACACUGACACUGAGGUGCGAAAGCGUGGGGAGCAAACAGG
rnacentral:rRNA from 1 species